UGCCUCAGUAACGGCGAGUGAAGCGGCAAAAGCUCAAAUUUGAAAUCUGAGGCUUUCAGCCCCCGAGUUGUAAUUUGAAGAUGGUGUUCUGGUGCCGGCCCCCUGUCUACGUUCCUUGGAACAGGACAUCACAGAGGGUGAGAAUCCCGUCUGGCGGGGCGGCCUGGCUCCGUGUAGAGCGCCAUCGACGAGUCGAGUUGUUUGGGAAUGCAGCUCUAAGUGGGUGGUAAAUUCCAUCUAAAGCUAAAUAUUGGCGAGAGACCGAUAGCGAACAAGUACAGUGAUGGAAAGAUGAAAAGAACUUUGAAAAGAGAGUGAAAAAGUACGUGAAAUUGUUGAAAGGGAAGGGUAUUGGAUCAGACUUGGUGCUGUGCGAAUAGCGGCCCUUCUUGGGCUGCCCACUCGCACUCCACCGGGCCAGCAUCGGUUUGGGCGGCAAGACAAUGGCGGCGGAACGUGGCACUGCUCUCGGGCAGUGUGUUUAUAGCCCCCGCUGAUGUUGCCUGCCUAGACCGAGGACUGCGGCUUCUGCCUAGGAUGCUGGCGUAAUGAUCCAACACCGCCCGUCUUGAAACAUGGACCAAGGAGUCUAACGUCUAUGCGAGUGUUUGGGUGUAAAACCCGUACGCGUAAUGAAAGUGAACGUAGGUGAGGGCCCUUUCUGGGUGCAUCAUCGACCGAUCCUGAUGUCUUCGGAUGGAUUUGAGUAAGAGCAUAGCUGUUGGGACCCGAAAGAUGGUGAACUAUGCCUGAAUAGGGUGAAGCCAGAGGAAACUCUGGUGGAGGCUCGUAGCGGUUCUGACGUGCAAAUCGAUCGUCGAAUUUGGGUAUAGGGGCGAAAG
rnacentral:rRNA from 1 species